rnacentral:rRNA from 1 species
AUUGAACGCUGGCGGCAUGCCUUACACAUGCAAGUCGAACGGUAACGGGCCUUCGGGUGCCGAGGGGUGGCGUGCGGGGGGAACAUACAUGGGAACGUGGCCGAACGUGGGGGCUAACGCGGCGAAAGCUUUUGUAAUACCGCCUACGACGUACGGUUGAAGGCCGGGGGCAGCAUGGGCUUGGGCGAGCGGUGGGGCCGAUGGGGGAUGAGGUCGUUGGUGGGAUACAAGUUUACCAAGCCGACGAUGUGUAGGUGGUGUGAGAGGAGGAUCAGCCACACUGGGACUGCGACACGGCCCAGACUCCUCCGGGAGGCAGCAGUGGGGAAUUUUGGAGAAUGGGCGCAAGCCGGCUCCAGCCACGCCGCGUGGAGGAUGAAGGCCUUCGGGUUGUAAACUGCUUUUGUACGGAACGAAAAGCCUUCUUUUAAUACAGGAGGGUCAUGACGGUACCGUAAUAAUAAGCACCGGCUAACUACGUG